rnacentral:rRNA from 1 species
GACGAACCGUCCAAACGUUAUUCGGAAUUACUGGGCUUAAAGGGUGCGUAGGCGGCGCGGUAAGUCGGGUGUGAAAUCUCGGGGCUUAACUCCGAAACUGCAUUCGAUACUGCCGUGCUUGAGGACUGGAGAGGAGACUGGAAUUUACGGUGUAGCGGUGAAAUGCGUAGAUAUCGUAAGGAAGACCAGUGGCGAAGGCGGGUCUCUGGACAGUUCCUGACGCUGAGGCACGAAGGUCAGGGGAGCAAACGGG